GCGGAGACGCAAGUUUCCGUUCACUCCUCACACCACACUCCGCCCGGACUGGUUUCGGGCGGUU
rnacentral:sRNA from 1 species